AAUGAUUACAUGGAAGAAGUAAAAUUGGUGUUUGCAAUGUUUCGUAAUAGUGUUGGCUUUUGAAGGAUUAUUCAUUUGAAAAUCAACGGAUUUUCCUUGUUCAUUCAUCUGAGCUGCUGAUCCAGAAAAUAACGAGCUACUCUUUUUUCUAUCAUGCCGGUUCCAUCACACUGUUAUCACCAAUUCAACCCAUUUCAACCUAAAAAUUAAUUAAUGGCAUGAUUCAUUAAUUGAGAUUAUGUUCAGGAAAUGCUACGAGAAUGCUGAUGCCAGAAGUGAUAUGAAGUAUCUUCUUUGAAAUGAAAAAUCUUCAUCUACUAGUUUUGUCAACCAUUAGUGUUCGCUGUCUCAGGACUCCAGUCUUCGCAGCUCUCUUGUUAUCCAGCCAUAAAUAUUAGCAUCUCCACAUGUCUAGUCCUCACAACUUCUCUACUAGGCCACCUACAACCCAGAGAUCCAAAUGGCUAAUUAUGAACUUUGAAUCUUCUUCUUCGGAUAUCAUCUCAGCCCAUUCUUGGCCGUAUGCAGUCUUCAUCUGAAAAAUUUCUCCGGAUCCCCCCAUCGGCAAUGGCGUAGGAUGUCAACGUGGAUCGCCAUGUCCUUCACGGUAUUGUUUGUUUGUUUUUUGUGUGUUAGUUAACCCAUUGGCUGCCACCCAUUUUUCUCCCCUUUUUUUUUUUAGCUCGUUAGGGACGGGCCGCGCUACUCUGCCUCAUGGUCUAUAUGCCAUGGGGUGGGGUAGUCGCAACUGCCCAAGAUUCGCCGUAAUGGCGCCUUAGGCGAUGCACCGAUAGGGACUUCCCUUAGUCGAUGCGGUGAUAGAUUCCUGGGGUGUGCAUCCCCCUAAUGGUAUCUAUCGCCGUGUCAGCCCGGACUUGUCUUUCCGGACAAGUCCCAUUUGGUCGUGGAUCCAUCAGACAACGAUUCGUAGAAUGUAGGAAAACAGCCUACGGGCUGUAU